UCCCUAGUGACCGAUAGUGAACCAGUACCGUGAGGGAAAGGUGAAAAGCACCCCGGAAGGGGAGUGAAAUAGAUCCUGAAACCGUGUGCCUACAACAAGUCAAAGCUCGUUAAUGAGUGAUGGCGUGCCUUUUGUAGAAUGAACCGGCGAGUUACGAUUGCAUGCGAGGUUAAGUCGAAGAGACGGAGCCGCAGCGAAAGCGAGUCUGAAUAGGGCGAAUGAGUAUGUAGUCGUAGACCCGAAACCAUGUGAUCUACCCAUGUCCAGGUUGAAGGUGCGGUAAAACGCACUGGAGGACCGAACCCACGUACGUUGAAAAGUGCGGGGAUGAGGUGUGGGUAGCGGAGAAAUUCCAAACGAACUUGGAGAUAGCUGGUUCUCUCCGAAAUAGCUUUAGGGCUAGCCUCGGAAUUGAGAAUGAUGGAGGUAGAGCACUGUUUGGACUAGGGGCCCAUCUCGGGUUACCGAAUUCAGAUAAACUCCGAAUGCCAUUCAUUUAUAUCCGGGAGUCAGACUGCGAGUGAUAAGAUCCGUAGUCGAAAGGGAAACAGCCCAGACCACCAGCUAAGGUCCCAAAAUAUAUGUUAAGUGGAAAAGGAUGUGGGGUUGCACAGACAACUAGGAUGUUGGCUUAGAAGCAGCCACCAUUUAAAGAGUGCGUAAUAGCUCACUAGUCGAGUGACCCUGCGCCGAAAAUGUACCGGGGCUAAACAUAUUACCGAAGCUGUGGACUACACCAUUAGGUGUAGUGGUAGGAGAGCGUUCUAAGGGCGUUGAAGGUCGAUCGUGAGGACGGCUGGAGCGCUUAGAAGUGAGAAUGCCGGUAUGAGUAGCGAAAGACAGGUGAGAAUCCUGUCCACCGUAUGACUAAGGUUUCCUGGGGAAGGCUCGUCCGCCCAGGGUUAGUCGGGACCUAAGCCGAGGCCGAUAGGCGUAGGCGAUGGACAACAGGUUGAUAUUCCUGUACCAGUUGUUUUUGUUUGAGCAAUGGAGGGACGCAGUAGGCUAAGGAAUGCAUGCGAUUGGAAGUGCAUGUCCAAGCAAUGAGUCUUGAGUAGAGUUAAAUGCUUUACUCUUUAAGGACAAGUUGUGACGGGGAGCGAAAUAAUAGUAGCGAAGUUCCUGAUGUCACACUGCCAAGAAAAGCUUCUAGUGAGAAAACAACUGCCCGU
rnacentral:rRNA from 1 species